GACGAACGCUGGCGGCGUGCUUAACACAUGCAAGUCGAGCGGUAAGGCCCUUUCGGGGGUACACGAGCGGCGAACGGGUGAGUAACACGUGGGUGACCUGCCCUCAGCUCUGGGAUAAGCCCGGGAAACUGGGUCUAAUACUGGAUAUGACUCCAUGACGCAUGUUGUGGGGUGGAAAGCCUUGUGCGGCUGAGGAUGGGCCCGCGGCCUAUCAGCUUGUUGGUGGGGGGAUGGCCUACCAAGGCGACGACGGGUAGCCGGCCUGAGAGGGCGACCGGCCACACUGGGACUGAGACACGGCCCAGACUCCUACGGGAGGCAGCAGUGGGGAAUCUUGCGCAAUGGGCGAAAGCCUGACGCAGCGACGCCGCGUGAGGGAUGACGG
rnacentral:rRNA from 1 species